GCCCCCAGGAACAAUCUGCCCUCCACCCACCACACAGCCUGGACUACAAGUCAGCUGCAGAUGUUGCCCUAAAGACAAAACGCAGUGCUAGUAUCAGAGGCUGGUCAGGCAAAAACAAUAAGUGUAUGUUAACAUCGGACUAUACGAUCUUUAAGACAAUACCCCAAUCAAGAAUAGCAAUUCUAGAUAAAAAUCUAGUAUAAAAAAUGGAGAGAGGAGGAAUACAGUAGGGAUGGAAACAGAGUAAAUAUUUUAUUUCCUCCAAAUAUCAUGAAAAAGACUUCUAUUAUUUCAUUUAUGCAAAAGUAGAGCCUUCCACGUGCAAAAAUAGGUCUUGGGUGGGACUCUAAAGUAGACCCUGCCAGAUGGGUAAAUUGACCUCAACAGGAAGGUUCUGAGGGGAUGCUUUGAUUGACAGCAUACUUACAAUUCAAAAAUGGGAGAGGAAAAGUUCAAGAAAACAUGGUGUACUUUGAAAAGAACAGCUAUUAGUUCUUUCAGAAGACCAGUCAGUGAGGCGCUGACGGGGACUACCUCAAAGAGAAGAUGUAUGCAGCCUAAAUCUACAGCCUGAGGCUUCUCUGAAGGACAAGUGGGUAAGCACAACAGUUUUGCCUUUGGCCAAUUAAAGGCUAAGUAUUUGUAGGUAAGUGAGGUUUAAGACUUUCUCUCACCCAACUCCCUGUACCGCCCCAUCUUCCUCAGUCAGUUAUGUAGCCCCUGGCCCUGAGACAACAUGAGUCUCCAAACACUCUAUUUCUUACUCUCUUUCUCUAUCAAUAAAUCCCCCAGUACCUCCU
ensembl:lincRNA